GGCGGUCGGCCGGCGCGUGAGCGUCCGUGCCGCCGCCGGAACCUUUUUUCUUUUAGAAAAAUGAUAAGGUUCUUGCUUUCCUUUUAGUAGAUCGAGUAAUAAUUCCGGGAGAUGGAGGCUAUCUCAGAUCCGUCGCCGCCGGCCUUUUGUCUCCGUGGCGGGGAAGCUCCUUCAGUUCCGCCGUCAUCGGCUCUGGUUUCCGGGGGGUGAAGGCUUCCAAAGCUUUGCGUCGCCGGCUUUAGGUCCCUAGUCUCUUAGGGUUUUGUUUUAUUUCGGGUUUGUUCAUGGUUCGGGUGUUUUGUGGGUUCGUCGGAGGAGGGAGAAGUUCUCAGGCGGAAAGGGUGUCGAUGCAUGUGUUAUUUUAUUGGAGGUCGGCGGUUAUCGGUGGUGGAUGAGAUCUCGCCUCGGCGAUUGACUCUCUCCAGUUUUAGAGACCCAAGAUGGUUUGAGUAGAAGAUGGGCGGAGCUUUUGAGGUCCGGCGUGGUCGGACGAUCGGUUGUUUGGAUCGCCGGCGGUAAAGAGAAACGGUGGUGACUCGGAGUCUUCGCAACACGUGUACCCCUCGACGGCGAGGAUGGCAACACGUGGCCAAGUAUCAGUAAGGCUGAUAUGUGAGGCGGCCGUUGUCUUUCGCGUUUAGUGUCUAGGGUUUUCCUCAAGUUGGGCCCGGAAGUUUUGGCCCAAUUGAGAAAUGUGUGUUACCCGUUUGAUGUAUCUGGGCUUUUGUAUCUUAUUUUCUUGUACUGGGCUUGGCCCGUUUUUAAUUUUAAAAAACAUUUCGAUGGAAAAAAA
rnacentral:lncRNA from 1 species